rnacentral:rRNA from 1 species
GACGAACGCUGGCGGCGUGCUUAACACAUGCAAGUCGAACGGAAAGGCCCUGCUUUUGUGGGGUGCUCGAGUGGCGAACGGGUGAGUAACACGUGAGUAACCUGCCCUUGACUUUGGGAUAACUUCAGGAAACUGGGGCUAAUACCGGAUAGGAGCUCCUGCUGCAUGGUGGGGGUUGGAAAGUUUCGGCGGUUGGGGAUGGACUCGCGGCUUAUCAGCUUGUUGGUGGGGUAGUGGCUUACCAAGGCUUUGACGGGUAGCCGGCCUGAGAGGGUGACCGGCCACAUUGGGACUGAGGUACGGCCCAGACUCCUACGGGAGGCAGCAGUGGGGAAUAUUGCACAAUGGGCGGAAGCCUGAUGCAGCAACGCCGCGUUCGUGAUGACGGCCUUCGGGUUGUAAACCGCUUUCGCCUGUGACGAAGCGUGAGUGACGGUAAUGGGUAAAGAAGCACCGGCUAACUACGUG